AGUAAUACAUCGGAACGUGUCUUCUAGUGGGGGAUAACUGCCCGAAAGGGCAGCUAAUACCGCAUGAGACCUGAGGGUGAAAGCGGGGGAUCGCAAGACCUCGCGCUGGAAGAGCGGCCGAUGUCCGAUUAACUAGUUGGUGAGGUAAAGGCUCACCAAGGCGACGAUCGGUAGCUGGUCUGAGAGGACGACCAGCCACACUGGGACUGAGACACGGCCCAG
rnacentral:rRNA from 1 species